CAGUAGCGUAUAUUAAAGUUGUUGCAGUUAAAAAGCUCGUAGUUGGAUUUCUGGCUUGAGAACGCUGGCCCGCCGGGGUUACCCGUGUGAGUGCCGGCCGUUCUCUGCCAUCCUUCUAGAAAACGCGUCUCGGCUUCAUUGCCGUGGGCGCGCCAUCUAGAUCAUUUACUUUGAGAAAAUUAGAGUGUUUAAAGCAGGCUUGCGCUAUGAAUACAUUAGCAUGGAAUAAUAAUAUAGGGCUUCGGUUCUAUUUUGUUGGUUUCUAGGACUGAAGUAAUGAUUGAUAGGGAUAGUUGGGGGUGCUAGUAUUCAGCGGCCAGAGGUGAAAUUCUUGGAUUCGCUGAAGACUAACUUAUGCGAAAGCAUUCACCAAGGAUGUCUUCUUUAAUCAAGAACGAAAGUUGGGGGAUCGAAGACGAUUAGAUACCAU
rnacentral:rRNA from 1 species